UACGUAGGGGGCAAGCGUUGUCCGGAUUUAUUGGGCGUAAAGAGCGUGUAGGCGGCCCGUCAAGUCCGUUGUGAAAACUAGAGGCUUAACCUCUAGACGUCGAUGGAAACUGUUUGGCUAGAGUCCGGAAGAGGAGAAUGGAAUUCCUGGUGUAGCGGUGAAAUGCGCAGAUAUCAGGAAGAACACCCGUGGCUAAGGCGGUUCUCUAGUACGGUACUGACGCUGAGACGCGAAAGCGUGGGGAGCGAACAGG
rnacentral:rRNA from 1 species